rnacentral:rRNA from 1 species
UACGGAGGGGGCUAGCGUUGUUCGGAAUUACUGGGCGUAAAGCGUGCGCAGGCGGUUUUGUAAGUCUGAUGUGAAAUCCCCGGGCUCAACCUGGGAAUUGCAUUGGAGACUGCAAGGCUAGAAUCUGGCAGAGGGGGGUAGAAUUCCACGUGUAGCAGUGAAAUGCGUAGAGAUGUGGAGGAACACCGAUGGCGAAGGCAGCCCCCUGGGUCAAGAUUGACGCUCAUGCACGAAAGCGUGGGGAGCAAACAGG